rnacentral:rRNA from 1 species
UACGUAGGUGGCAAGCGUUGUCCGGAUUUAUUGGGUUUAAAGGGUGCGUAGGUGGCCCCGUAAGUCAGUGGUGAAAUAUCUCAGCUUAACUGAGAGGGUGCCAUUGAUACUGCAGGGCUUGAGUACAGAUGAGGUAGGCGGAAUUGACGGUGUAGCGGUGAAAUGCAUAGAUAUCGUCAAGAACACCGAUAGCGAAGGCAGCUUACCAAGCUGUAACUGACACUGAGGCACGAAAGUGUGGGGAUCAAACAGG